CCUACGGGUGACUGCAGUGGGGAAUAUUGGGCAAUGGGCGCAAGCCUGACCCAGCAACGCCGCGUGAAUGAAGAAGGCUUUCGGGUUGUAAACUUCUUUUAUUGAGGACGAACCACAUGACGGUCCUCAAUGAAUAAGCCACGGCUAACUACGUGCCAGCAGCCGCGGUAAUACGUAGGGGGCAAGCUUUAUCCGGAUUUACGGGGUGUAAAGGGCGUGUAGGCGGGACUGCAAGUCAGAUGUGAAAACCAUGGGCUCAACCCCUGGCCUGCAUUGGAAACUGUAGUUCUUGAGUGAUGGAGGGGUAGGCGGAAUUCCGAGUGUAGCGGUGAAAUGCGUAGAUAUACGGAGGAACACCAGUGGCGAAGGCGGCCUGCUGGACAGUAACUGACGCUGAGGCGCGAAAGCGUGGGGAGCAAACAGGAUUAGAUACCCUUGUAGUC
rnacentral:rRNA from 1 species